rnacentral:rRNA from 1 species
CCUACGGGAGGCUGCAGUAGGGAAUCUUUCACAAUGGGCGAAAGCCUGAUGGAGCAACGCCGCGUGCAGGAUGAAGGCCUUCGGGUUGUAAACUGCUUUUAUAAGCGAGAAAUAUGAUGGUAACUUAUGAAUAAGGAUCGGCUAACUACGUGCCAGCAGCCGCGGUCAUACGUAGGAUCCGAGCAUUAUCCGGAGUGACUGGGUGUAAAGAGUUGCGUAUGUGGCAUAAUAAGUAGCUAGUGAAAUCUGGUGGCUCAACCAUUCAGACUAUUAGCUAAACUGUUAAGCUCGAGACCGUUAGGGGUAACUGGAAUUUCUAGUGUAGGAGUGAAAUCCGGAGAUAUUAGAAGGAACACCAAUAGCGUAGGCAGGUUGCUGGGACGGUUCUGACACUAAGGCACGAAAGCGUAGGGAGCAAACGGGAUUAGAUACCCCUGUAGUC